rnacentral:lncRNA from 1 species
CGGCGCACGGUGCAGCGGUGACACAUCCACUCCCCUGGAGGCAGCAUUUCCUCGCUGAGCGGAGGGUUGCAGCACUGGAGGUGGAAAGCGGCGGGGCAGUGAUCGCAGCACAGCAGGUCCCCUCCUUCCUUGCAGCUAUCGCAGCUGUCGUGGUUAGUGGCCCUGCCACUUCUCCUGGGCUCCUUCUCAGGCCUCCUGCUCCUCUUCUCCCCAUCUUCGCUCUUAGGGGGAGCCAGCAGGGCCUGGAUUUGCUCCAUCAGCCCCCCGGAGGUGUCCAGGUCGUAGACGAUCGUCUUCGUCUCCAUCUUCUCCCACAUUCAUCCAGCCCGGGGGGAGCGGCCCCGAGAGACCCCCCCCACCCCACCGCGAGGGAGCGGACGGAGGGACGGGGAGCGGCGGCGGCGGCGGCGGCGGGAGCCCCACUCAGCGGCCUCGAGAGGGGAGCGAGGUGGAGCGGGCGGCGGCGAGGCCUAACCCACGGGCCGCUGCGCUGCUCGGCCGGGAGUCCUCCGCCUCCUGCCGCCGGGCCCGGGGGAGGCUGCGGGGGGCCCCGCGCCCGCUGCCAUGCCGCGCACAGGAGGGCCGGGGCCGGCCCCGCUCCGCCGCCUCACGACGCCCGGCCCCGCACCGCUCAGGCGCCGCCGCGCUCUGCCGCUCUGCCCCUCUCUCCCUCUCCCUCUCUCUCUCAGGGCCCCGCCGUCGCCGCCGCCGCCGCGCCGCCCGCGCACGCGCAGACCGCGCCCCGCC